rnacentral:rRNA from 1 species
GACGUAGGGAGCGAGCGUUGUCCGGAUUCAUUGGGCGUAAAGAGCGCGCAGGCGGUUUGGUAAGUCGGAUGUGAAAACCCGGGGCUCAACCCCGGGCGUGCAUCUCGAUACUGCCCGACUAGAGGUAGGUAGGGGAGAUCGGAAUUCCUGGUGUAGCGGUGAAAUGCGCAGAUAUCAGGAGGAACACCGGUGGCGAAGGCGGGUCUCUGGGCCGUAACUGACGCUGAGGAGCGAAAGCGUGGGGAGCGAACAGG